rnacentral:lncRNA from 12 species
GCUUUGAGUUGCUGCCUUUCAAACAAUGUGAAAUUCUAUAAAGAGGAGGCUGGGAACCGCUGGGAAUAGACGAGGCUGGUUUGUGCUACAUGGCAGUUUUCAGAUAAAGGAUAAACAAUCUGCAGUCUUCACAAUGUGCCAACAGGUGGAGAAUGACACAAUCCAACCGGAACACAAAACCGUUUGACUGCUGGAAGGGCUGUGCAAUCCUGGGAGGAGGAGUGAUCGCCUCUAGGAAGAUGCACCUGGGGACAAGGAAAAGAGUCUCUGGCUGGGCGAAGUCAGGACAUGCACAUUCUGAUGAAGCACCGUCAGGGUGUAAGUGUGUUCCACAUGGCCCCCAAGGGGCCCUUUGCCUCCCCGUGGAGAACUGAGUGUGGAUGGUGAUGGCUCUCUUCGCCUGACUUCUGCAGACGCCAGUGAGCAAUUGCUGCACUUAGAGAUGUUCUCCCGGAGUGGGAACAACGGUUCACAUUCUAAACCACACAUCCUACAUCUUUCCCACUCUGCUUGUGUGUUUCUGAUAACCUGGAGAUGGAGCUGAAGAGAUGCUCUGGCUGAGUGGGGAGAGGCAGGGGGCAGCGCAGUGACAAAAGCGGUUUAGGUUUCAGAAAAGCUCUCUGCCACUCAAUGCCUAGAAGAUGGGCCAAGCAAGCCUCAGAAAACAUGUCUUAUUUAUCACUUGCUUCCCAGUACUUAGGGCAGAGCCAGACACAUGCUGGUUUAAUUUAUUAACAAGCAUGAUGUCCAUCUUGGCAAGGUCUCCUCCCAGCAUGGAAGAUAGUGCAUUGAGGACACAUUAAAAGGUGGUGUAGGGACAGGGGGCAGGGGCAGUGCACCUGAGUGGCUCAGUUGGUUGAGUGGCCAACUCUUGGAUUCAGCUCAGGUCUCGAUCUCAGGGUCCUGGGAUUGAGCCCUGCAUCAGGCUCUGUGCUCAGUGGGGAGUCUGCUUGGGGAUGCUCUCUCCUUCUCUCUCUGCCCCUGAUCCCCCAUUCUCUCUGUGUCUGUCUGUCUGUCUCUCUCAUAAAUAAAUAAAUAAUAAACAAACA